UACAACUCAAUCUUUUUAUUUCACUUCACACAGCAAGACUGACAUUAAAAAAUGACUGACAGGUUUCCAAAAAAUGGUCCCAAGGAUCACUUGUGCAGCAAUUCAGUUCAAGAUAACUUUGUUGUGAAUAUAAAUAUUUGGAUUUUGGAUAUCACAUUAAAUUAACACACAGCAAUGUCUUUCUUCUCCUUGUUCCUCAGGAUGUGAUCUAAUUCUGCACUCGUGUCAAGUUGGCAGCCAUCCUUCAGUUAUCACAGUACUGUACCUUCGAUGGGGACAGCAUCAGCACUGUGAUAACUGAACCAGGGCAGCCUGUCAAAUCUAGCAGACCGGGGCUUCUCUCCUUCAACCAUCCAUUCACAAUAUUCAUGCUCCACUGCAGCAGCUGCAAAAAUCAUGCUUUCUUCAUGCAUUUUUACCGUUCAUACAGUGACAUCUUCAUUUCCACAAGAUUUAUCACUUGCAUUUAACAUUUACCGUGAAGACAUUUUUCAAGAAACAUGCUGUUGCUGAUAUUGUAGCACAUGACUCCAAAGAGUAAUGGGCAUGUCGCCUAACAUUAAAAACUAUUUAAAAAAUCUCUCUACACAAGCAGAAAGUCUUUCCCUUCUACCAACAGGAUUCAAACAUUUUUUAUACCAUGACAUUUUCUAACGCUAACAAAUUCAAAAGAAGAGCAUUAGUGUGAAAAGCUGCAACCAUAAACCAAGGUGAACUGUAUUUAAACAGGGCAACACAAUGAUGUCUGUGUUAGAUUAAAUAAAACUUUAGUUUUAACUCUAUUUUUAAGCAACAGUGGAGUCAAUUGCACAGAAAAUAGAACAUUUACUUCGAACAGGUUCAUUUAUUUAUUUGUUUGAUUUAAGUUACAUUUAGCUAAAUGCACCACCAAAUGGUUUUAAUGGUUUUAUUUAUCUAUAUGACCAAUUAUCAGCCUAAAUCAAAACUGGAGCCAACAUUAGCAUUAGACCAGUUAUCUGUAUUGGCAUUUUACUAAUCACUGAUAAUAUUAUAUAAGUGAAAAAGCACAGCUCCAGUGCAGGUGUGUCUUCACUCGAGUUCACCUUAUGUCCCCCCUUACAACACCAUUUGAUUGGCUGUGCUGUUAGUAUUACUGGUUAACUAUUUACUCCUGGGUUUGAUGUUGGAAGUUGCCGCUUUAAUCAAACAUUUGGUUCAGGCAUUACAAUAAGUUUUGGGUCGUGUUUAUAAUAUUUUAAACUGUAGAUUUUGACAUAAGGUUUGUACUUUUACUGAAAAUGCAUAUCAUUUAGCUGUUUUUCAUAUUUCGGAUCACUACAUCAAGGCAAUCAUAGUUUUGAGUCUAACUAGUGUAUCUGCAUAUAUUUUAAGAUGUUGUGUAUCCCUGCAAACCAACAGAAUGAGUGUAAACAUAACUGUCUUUAUAAUAAUGAUCUUAAAAGCAAACUGAAAACAUACCUUUUUAGUCUUGCUUUUAACUUUAAGUGUUUUAGCAUUUAUCUCUUCUAGUUUUAAAGAUAGGAUCGUCUUUUAUUGAGCUAUUUUAGUGCUCUUAUUUUAUCUUAUUUUUUCUUAAAUUUCAUUCUAUGUUACUUUGUUUUCAGAUUUUAACCUAAACCUCCAGUGUUUCCUUAUCUUGAGUUUUAAAGUGAAGUUCCCUCAGUGCAAACAUCAUGUUUCCACGAAAUCAAGCCCUUUAUAAGUUUAUGCAUUUUAAUACUGUUUCUGUUGCAUUUAGAUUGUGGGGUGGGAAUAAGGGGUUGGGCUGGGGUAGAUUUGGGUAUUCUUUGUUUCUUUUAUUCCUUUUUCUGUGUAAACCACUUUGUGCUACAUGGUUGUGUAUGAAAAGAGUCGACGACCUGUGCACCUAAGCACUAUAUACAUACUGCACUGCUAGCACUACUGCAUUUAUUGCACUUUUUAUACUGGUUUUAUACUGGUUUUAACUGAUUUUACUCUACUUGGCUGGUCUGCAGAGGUGCUGUUAGUAUUACUGGUUAACUAUUUACUCCUGGGUUUGAUGUUGAAAGUUGCCGCUUUGAUCAAACAUUUGGUUCAGGCAUUACAAUAAGUUUUGGGUUUUGUUUAUAUUUCAAAUUGUAGAUCUUGACAUUAAGUUUUUACUUUUUACUGUAAAUGCAUAUCAUUUAUUAAGCUCAUGAACUUCCGAUAAUCAUAACAACCCUUGUCAAUAGUACACUGAAACUUGCACUAAUGGGUAGAUGCAAUGUUACCUGGAUACAAUUGAAUUGGAUUAACAUUUCUAAUAUUCGGGACAUAAGGAUAAACCCAUUUUCUUCUAUUCAUCCAUAAUGGAGUACUCUGCCAUCCCAUUUCAAACACAUUUUAAUAUGGUUCCUUUAUUUUUAUUCUGUCCCCACACAGUGUUCUGGUUAAUAUUUCAUCUCAUGAAACAAUCACAGGCAUUUUCCCCUUAAAAACCUCCUCGUCUCUGCUCGGACUCAGCACAGACACCAACUCCACUCUAUAUUAUUCAUACCAACCACAAGGCCAGCUGACGUCAGACUUGUUAUGAUUCUCCUCGCGGGCUCCGCCCACCUCGGCCGCGAGAAGCCUCUUUCUCUCUCGAGCAGUCCGGUGGCGUCUGUGGCCGACGUAGCGGCUCCACCUCCUCGUCAGUCCGUCCGCCCUCCGCACUUCAUGUAAACAACUCCAUUAGCCCCGCCGCGCACGGCUCUCCAGCCAAGAAAUGUUCGUGUCGGACGUGAAAAAGCAAAAAAGCAACAUGUGCAAUAACUAAAAAAAAGGGCAGGGGAUAAACACGACGUCGGGGCUGUACGCUGCGUUUGUUGUCAUGAGUGUCUGUGAAGAAAAGCACGUCCACAUUACAUAAAUCCUCAUUGUAAAGAACAAGAAGCCACUAAAGGGGAGGAUAACAUGCUCUAAUACAGAUCAAUACUAAAGCUAAAGCAAAUAAACAUGACUGCUAAACUGAAAUUAGCUGUGCCACGGCGAGUUGCUGCCAAUAAAAGUUGCCAAAACGUACACUACCGCGUAAUUUAUGGCAUUACAUAAAACCAUGCAUACCUGCGUUGGGAAAGCUGCACAUGCCCUUCAAAAAGCGACUUAUGACAAGAUAUAAGUGCAAUGUUCGUACUGAAUAUUGUGCAGCCAAACGUUAACGCCCAGCAUUGCAUACACACCCCUUUUCCAAGCAAAAACAAACAGCAUGCUGUACAUUUCAAGUCAAAUAAUUCAUCUGUUAUUCACCAUCAGUCUGCGUUGAUUUUAGGAGGAAUAAUUUGUCUCACCUACCUGCAAUUUCCUCGUCCGAUUCCCCGUGUUUACAUGAAUAUUUUUAAUGACGCAGCAAGACCACACAGAGCAACGUGAUUGUCGCCAUUUUUUGUUGUUAUUGAAUUCUCCAAAGCCAUGUGACAAAUUAAUAAUGAUUUUAAAAGCAAGCUUCCGGGUGCGGAGGCGAAAACUACUUUCGCGAGGCUAAAAAAGGUUAAUCCCCCGAGUUGUUUGUCUGAUGGAUUAGUCUGCUUACUCCACUGACUGGUGACUGAAGGCUGUGCGCAACAUUUGACAGCUCCGGGACGCUGCUGCUGCUGCCGCCUUCGCCCGUAUGGCUCUCGCAACAAGUACUCACAAGAUCUCUCUGCCGUCCGCAAACGUUGCGCGCAAUGACAGCGACUC